CUUCCAAAUGAGCUAACGGUAGAUUUUAAAACCUAACUUCUAUUUCAUACUAUUAUACAUGCAAAUUAUCAGAAACCUCUCGUCGAUUUUACACAGAUACUUGUAUAAUAGUUCAUAGUAAGCCAAGAUUAAUCCCUCUAUUGUAUCAUACACGUGGAGGGACGCAAAAAAUGUGUAAUCAGUAAGUUUUGUCCGACCUUGUUUAAGCUUGCCCGCGUGACGCCAUUGCAUAAAAUUAUGACGUAUUGUAUACUAAUUAUAAAUGAGGUGGUGGACACCUACCACCUCAAACUCCACCACCUCACACCACCUCACUCCUCCUCACUCCUCCUCCUCCUGCUCACUCCUUCUCCUCACUCAUCCUCCACACUCGUCCUCCUCAAAAAUCCGGCCCGAACGGCCUCCAUAUUAUUACUACCAAUAUUUUACCCCUAAUCAACAGUUAUUUUUUUGUUUUGUUUUGUUUUGUUUUGUUUUGUUUUGUUUUGUUUUGUUUUGUUUUGUUUUGUUUUGUUUCGUUUCGUUUCGUUUCGUUUCGUUUCGCUUCGCUUCGUGUGGUGUUGUUCUGUUCCGUUCCGUUCCAUUCUGUUCUGUGCUGUUUUGUUUUUCAUUUCGAACCAUAUUUCAAAAUGAAAUUUUUAAAAAUUCCAGUUUUGUGAACUUAUAUUUCAGCGGAUCAGGAGUGUUUGCUACUUAACUUGUUGGGGAGCCAAAGUACGGUUGACAAACUGCUAAAAAUGCCGAAUUUCUCAAUAUAUGCCGAAACAAAACAUAUUAUUAUUAUUAUUGUUGUUACUACUAUUAUUAAACUUUAUUUAAAGAAGGUUAAUUUACAAGAAAUGUGCCAGCUUAGCAAAAGCUAAUUUUCCACUGGACCUUCUAAAAUUAACCGCUAAAUAUCUAUACAGGAAAAAUUACAUUCACAUGCAUUAGUACAUACAUAAAAUACAUAUACAGUAUUACAUGCAUACAUAUAGCACAACUUUUUCAAUGUUUAUGUCAAAGAAAUAUUUUAUUACAUCAUCGGUUAUGGACCACCAGGCACUAAAAUAAAAU